CCUGCCCUCCUAGCACGAGGGCUGCCUCCCCUCCAGAAGCACUUGGCCAAGGGGCCAGGCGGGCCAGGGCUCUAUGCAGGGCAGACUCUCCCUACCCACAGCCCUGGCUUCCGCCUCCUUUUGUUAGGGACUGGGGAUGGUAGCCCUGAGCCCCCAUGCUCCCUCCCUGCUCCACUUGACCAGGGUUUGCUGGGGCUUCCUAAGAGGGAAAGCAGUGGGGCCUUAGGGAAGAGGUCCCAGUCUGGGGAUCAAGACAGAAACUGCACCUCCUACCCCCUGAGGUCAGAGCUGUGUCAGAGAGAAGCCGGAGAAUCCAGACGUCAGGGGCCCCAGGCUGCCUCAGAAGCAGGGCUGUGGGACAGGGCGGUGGCCUCGUGGCGGGUGCCCACAGGCAGCCCUGGUGUUGCCUCUGAACUGUGUUCCUCGAGGGAAUAGAGGUUGAGGCUGCCUCAAGAUGCCUGAGGACAGAGGUGGGAGCCUGGCCUGAUGACACUGGGGGCUUCUAGGUCCCUGAAAGAUCUGCUGCAGCCACCAUCAGGUCCCAACAGGAACCAGAAGAGACCUACUCCUGUGAGCCUGUGAUACCUGUUCAAGAACAGAUAAGUGACUUCACAUGGCUGAGGAGGCAAGUGGAACUUCUGGCCUGUGUGUUCUGUGUGAAUCCAAGAGACAGAAACACAAGCUGCUGGGCAAUGAGAAUGACGCAGUGAUUCGGGAAUUAAUCCACGGGCACGUCGGGGUGUUUACCCACCUCCCAGGAGCUCACAGGCCAACUGAGUGAGGGAAGAGGAAACUACAGAGAUGUCCCUCCUGCGUGCAGGCUCUGUUCUAGGCACACGUCACCUUAUUUCCGCCUCAUGGGAAGGGAUUUUUCUCCCCAUCAUUUGGGACAUGAAACAGAGACUUACCAGGAGGAUAAGGCGCUGAGCCAGGAAGCUGGGCUGUGAUCCUGCAGGAGGUGGGGGGGGAGCCCUCGGAGGCCCAGGAGCAGCUGGGGGUCCCUGAGGCACUCACAGCACCAGCCCUCCUGUUGCUGCUGUAACCGGUGCUGGGGGUGGGGGGUGGGGGGGACGGUAUCUGCUCUGGCCUCUCCCUGCCAUGCAGCCUUGGCACUGGCUUUGCCCCCGCAGCCUCUGCUGCAGCCUCUGCUGAAGCCUCUGGAUAUACCCGGAACUCCAAAGCGGAGCAGCAGAAUCCACUUACCCAGCACCUACCCCGCUCCACACCAGGCUGGGCACGCCCCUCGGAGCAUCAUGUGCCGCUGAGGCGUCUCCUCCACCUCAGAGACCACCUCCUCCGCCUGCCCAGAGAGAAGGGGAGUGAAUUCAGCUGUGGCCACCUACUCUUGUUGCACUUGGGAGAGUGGUGCUGGGGGCAGGGGGCCUCCUACAGAGCCCAGCUCACCCAGCUGGGCUCAGAGCCCACUCUAGAGGGCUACACAGAUCCGUGCAAAUGUGCUUGGUGCCCCGUGGGCUUAGACAUCCUGAGAUGCAGCACAGAUAAGCCCGUGCAAUAUACACAAUGGAAUACUACUCAGCCAUAAAAAAAAGAAUGAAAUCAUGCUAUUUGCAGCAACAUGGAUGGACCUAGAGAGGAUCGUACUAAGUGAACAAAUCAGAGAAAGACAACAUAUGAUAUCACUUAUAUGUGGAAUCUAAAAUAUGGCACAAAUGAACUUCUUUACAGAACAGAAA